CGAACUAGCCUAUCCGAUGGUCGAAGUACCCAAAAAAAACUUCGAAAUUCUAAUUUUUUUUUAGUUUGAAUCCUUUACUCGAGCUUAGUAAAUGUGCCCCCUCGGGUUGCCGGCCGGCCGGUAUAUUACAGGCUUUGCCGCUAAAAAUGAUGCUUGAUGCCAAUGUUAUUAGUAGGAAAAAAUGGCAAAACUAUAGGAAGGCCGGUAUUUCUUUGCAGAAAAGGUGUCAACCCGCUAUAAACCCACGGAUCUCUCUGACCACUGGAUUCAAACGGAACUCUUAUUAGCAGCUUGUUUAAUGAUAUAUAUGUACAGCGUGAAUACAAUUAAAUGAAUAGACUGGUUGGGGUGAAAAAGAGGAAUAAUAUAAUAUAUAAAACUCUACAAUCAAAUCACUGGCUGUUGAAUGAGUCGUUAUUAAAUGUGCCCAAUGACGGAUGAGGAAUUAGUGAAGGAUUCGCUCAGUGUGACUGACAAUUCAGUCGCCAUUACAUCUCCUACACCAGAGCCCUCACUAGUCCGCAGGUAGCCCCCGGCAACAAGAACUAUUACUGCCCCAUUUUGGUGUGAGCUGAAGUUAAACAUAGGAGUCCCUGAUGUAUCAAAGCUUAGUCAGGUAAUGUCAGUCAGACGCCAUUUUAUUGGCCUGAGAAUUGGAGGGAAUUCGUUUUAUACUUUCCCUCAAAUGCUCCUCAUAUAUCAGGACUGACACACGGGUGGGGAUGGGCGUAACUAGGAGACGAGAACUAUAUAUUUAUAUAUUUGUUUGGUUUCACUUGAAGCAACAGGUUUCAGUAACGUUGUAUAUGAGUCGGUGCCACCAUUUUAUUGGUGGGAUGGUCGCUACGUCACUAAGAUGCGAUUUCGGCGCGCAUAAAAGGCAGACGAUAACGGCCCUGUUGCAGGAUGUAGAAUUGUUUCAUGCUCACGUGGUUGAGGGAAAAGGCGGAGCGCGCUAUAUAUCUACCAAUUAUCUCUAGGGCAACCAAUAAAAUGGCGGCGCGCCUUCUAUAUCGUCACAAGUCUGAAGUAAAAGCGGUCAUUUCAUUGGGCCAGAGUGCUUGGGUUACGCUCAGCUCAGCCAAUUAUAUUGUCAGCCACCCAGUCCUUCCCCUAGAGGCGGAGCUUAAGGCUAGAACGGCGAUUGUGCUGAGAUGUGAGGGACUCACUGAGGAACAGACUGGGAAUUGUCCCCUGCUGCUCCCUGUAACUCCCUUCUACUGUGUCCCUGACAUUCCCAUCCCCUGUACUCACAUCUCCAGCCUCAUCUACUGGAGGAUGGAGAAAUCGCAAACCGGCACUGUCCCACGGCGUCCAAGGGGUCUCCGCCAUCUUCUUCCUUGUUCUUCUUCAUCUGCUGUACGUGCGCGCUGCUGUGGCUCUCUUCCGGGACCGACUUCCGGUUUCGUGACGUCACUUAGCAACCAAGGAAUCUUCAGAUGGCGUCGGUAGUGCGGCUUCAUUUCCCAGCUGCAUCUCCAAGGGAACGGACGUCUUUUGGCUGCUCUCUCUUCACUGCUGACAGGAACACGCUGCUGAAUCUUCACGCAGGACAGGAUCUCUGCUUCACUUUUGGGUCAUCUGAUCUGAGCUCACUGGGAUUUGAUCGCUUCUUCUGGAACACUUCACUCGGAUCACGUUACUUGGAUGUUUGUAAUGUGUUCCAGUGAACUUUAUGAAACCUGUCUUGUAACGAUCUAAGUACCCCCUGUUGUAAAAAAAAACUGUAUGAUAAAAUGUAGACCCCUGACCCUGUAUAUGCCAGCUGUAUGCACUAAUAAAAUUAGCAGACCCUGUAGCCCAAAGCACUUUGCAGACUCUAACAGCUGACCCCCCCAUAACGCUCUGUGCACUUAUAGUAACAGCUGACCCCCCCACAACGCUCUGUGCACUUAUAGUAACAGCUGACCCCCCCACAACGCUCUGUGCACUUAUAGUAACAGCU